AGUAGGACGCACAGUUUAUACCGUAGCUUGCUACACCAUAGACUGUGAGUUGCGAACGGGUGAGUAACGCGUAGGUAACCUGCCUAUUAGAGGGGGAUAACUAUUGGAAACGAUAGCUAAUACCGCAUAACAGUAUGUAACACAUGUUAGAUGCUUGAAAGAUGCAAUUGCAUCGCUAGUAGAUGGACCUGCGUUGUAUUAGCUAGUAGGUAGGGUAAUGGCCUACCUAGGCGACGAUACAUAGCCGACCUGAGAGGGUGAUCGGCCACACUGGGACUGAGACACGGCCCAGACUCCUACGGGAGGCAGCAGUAGGGAAUCUUCGGCAAUGGGGGGAACCCUGACCGAGCAACGCCGCGUGAGUGAAGAAGGUUUUCGGAUCGUAAAGCUCUGUUGUUAAGGAAGAACGAGUGUGAGAAUGGAAAGUUCAUACUGUGACGGUACUUAACCAGAAAGGGACGGCUAACUACGUGCCAGCAGCCGCGGUAAUACGUAGGUCCCGAGCGUUGUCCGGAUUUAUUGGGCGUAAAGCGAGCGCAGGCGGUUAGAAAAGUCUGAAGUGAAAGGCAGUGGCUCAACCAUUGUAGGCUUUGGAAACUGUUUAACUUGAGUGCAGAAGGGGAGAGUGGAAUUCCAUGUGUAGCGGUGAAAUGCGUAGAUAUAUGGAGGAACACCGGUGGCGAAAGCGGCUCUCUGGUCUGUAACUGACGCUGAGGCUCGAAAGCGUGGGGAGCGAACAGGAUUAGAUACCCUGGUAGUCCACGCCGUAAACGAUGAGUGCUAGGUGUUGGGUCCUUU
rnacentral:rRNA from 2 species